CCGGAUAAUCCUUUCCCUCACAUGAGGGAAAGCUGAAAGACGGUUUCGGCUGUCACUUACAGAUGGGCCCGCGGCGCAUUAGCUAGUUGGUGAGGUAACGGCUCACCAAGGCGACGAUGCGUAGCCGACCUGAGAGGGUGAUCGGCCACACUGGGACUGAGACACGGCCCAGACUCCUACGGGAGGCAGCAGUAGGGAAUCUUCCGCAAUGGACGAAAGUCUGACGGAGCAACGCCGCGUGAGCGAUGAAGGCCUUCGGGUCGUAAAGCUCUGUUGUCAGGGAAGAACAAGUACCGGAGUAACUGCCGGUACCUUGACGGUACCUGACCAGAAAGCCACGGCUAACUACGUGCCAGCAGCCGCGGUAAUACGUAGGUGGCAAGCGUUGUCCGGAAUUAUUGGGCGUAAAGCGCGCGCAGGCGGUUCCUUAAGUCUGAUGUGAAAGCCCCCGGCUCAACCGGGGAGGGUCAUUGGAAACUGGGGAACUUGAGUGCAGAAGAGGAGAGCGGAAUUCCACGUGUAGCGGUGAAAUGCGUAGAGAUGUGGAGGAACACCAGUGGCGAAGGCGGCUCUCUGGUCUGUAACUGACGCUGAGGCGCGAAAGCGUGGGGAGCGAACAGGAUUAGAUACCCUGGUAGUCCACGCCGUAAACGAUGAGUGCUAAGUGUUAGAGGGUUUCCGCCCUUUAGUGCUGCAGCAAACGCAUUAAGCACUCCGCCUGGGGAGUACGGCCGCAAGGCU
rnacentral:rRNA from 1 species